rnacentral:rRNA from 1 species
UACGGAGGGGGCGAGCGUUAUUCGGAAUUAUUGGGCGUAAAGGGCGCGUAGGCGGCUGUACAAGUCAAAGGUGAAAUCCCUCGGCUCAACUGAGGAACUGCCUUUGAAACUGUACGGCUUGAGGCCGGGAGGGGGUAGCGGAAUUCCAGUGUAGCGGUGAAAUGCGUAGAUACUGGGAGGAACACCAGUGGCGAAGGCGGCUUUCUGGUCUGUAACGUGACGCUGAGGCGGCGAAAAGCGUGGGGAGCAAACAGG